rnacentral:lncRNA from 1 species
CUGCAAUGGAGGUCACAGGCUACUCCUGUGGUCUCCAACAGGCUCUGCUGUUCCAAGCUCACUGCCUGAGCACUCUCUGAGCCCUGGAGGGGCAGAGGCUAGGAAAGCUGUGGGAAGCAGGGAGAGAAAAGGCCAUGCUCCUGUAAGGGAGCAACACGGAUAGGGAGUUAUGGAAUGAGCCUAUGGAGCUCUGAAAAUUGUUUCCUAUACAUGCUAUCGUUAUUUCAAAGUUCAAGGAUUUUAACAUUGAUUAAUGGAGUUCUGGACCUAUUUGUAGGGGCGGUGCUGAUGCUAAGGUCCUGUUCCCAAUUGGCUCUUGAUCUGUCAGUGAAGAAAGCCAUAGGACAAUUGCUGGGCCAAAGGUACAGGCAGGACUUCCGGCUCCCUGGAAGAGAGGGGAGGUGCGAGGGAGGAGAAGAGAGUUCAUCAGGCUUUUGAUGGAGUAAAGUUGACCAAACAUGUGAGCUCUCAGGCAGAGUGUUGGCCUGUGGCUGCUACUACAGGUGACUGGUUGGGAAUGUAAUUAAACUGAAGUUCAGGAUAGGUGGGAGAAGCAGAGAUAAAAACAUUAUUAAGAGCAUGCUUUUAGCAUAGUAGCACCCAGCAAUUGUGC